GGUGAACGCUGGCGGUAGGCCUAACACAUGCAAGUCGAACGGCAGCACAGGAGAGCUUGCUCUCUGGGUGGCGAGUGGCGGACGGGUGAGGAAUACAUCGGAAUCUACUCUGUCGUGGGGGAUAACGUAGGGAAACUUACGCUAAUACCGCAUACGACCUACGGGUGAAAGCAGGGGAUCUUCGGACCUUGCGCGAUUGAAUGAGCCGAUGUCGGAUUAGCUAGUUGGCGGGGUAAAGGCCCACCAAGGCGACGAUCCGUAGCUGGUCUGAGAGGAUGAUCAGCCACACUGGAACUGAGACACGUCCAGACUCCUACGGGAGGCAGCAGUGGGGAAUAUUGGACAAUGGGCGCAAGCCUGAUCCAGCCAUACCGCGUGGGUGAAGAAGGCCUUCGGGUUGUAAAGCCCUUUUGUUGGGAAAGAAAUCCAGCUGGCUAAUACCCGGUUGGGAUGACGGUACCCAAAGAAUAAGCACCGGCUAACUUCGUGCCAGCCGCCGCCGUAA
rnacentral:rRNA from 1 species